rnacentral:rRNA from 1 species
CCUACGGGUGGCUGCAGUGGGGAAUAUUGGACAAUGGGCGAAAGCCUGAUCCAGCCAUGCCGCGUGUGUGAAGAAGGCCUUCGGGUUGUAAAGCACUUUCAGUGGGGAAGAAAGCCUUGGGGCUAAUACCCUCGAGGAAGGACAUCACCCACAGAAGAAGCACCGGCUAACUCCGUGCCAGCAGCCGCGGUAAUACGGAGGGUGCGAGCGUUAAUCGGAAUUACUGGGCGUAAAGCGCGCGUAGGCGGUCUGAUAAGCCGGUUGUGAAAGCCCCGGGCUCAACCUGGGAACGGCAUCCGGAACUGUCAGGAUAGAGUGCGGGAGAGGAAAGGAGAAUUCCCGGUGUAGGGGUGAAAUGCGUAGAGAUCGGAAGGAAUACCAGUGGCGAAGGCGGCCUUCUGGACUGACACUGACGCUGAGGUGCGAAAGCGUGGGUAGCAAACAGGAUUAGAUACCCGAGUAGUC